rnacentral:rRNA from 1 species
GACGAACGCUGGCGGCGUGCUUCAUACAUGCAAGUCGAACGAGAAGCUCACUUCGGUGAGUGGAAAGUGGCGGACGGGUGAGUAAAAUGUAGAGAAUCUGCCCUAGAGAUGGGGACAACAGUUGGAAACGACUGCUAAUACCCAAUAUGAGCGUAGCUGAGAUGCUAUUCUUGAAAACUCCGGUGCUCUGGGAUGAGUCUGCAUCUGAUUAGCUAGUUGGUGGGGUAAAGGCCUACCAAGGCGACGAUCAGUAGCUGGUCUGAGAGGAUGAUCAGCCACACUGGGACUGAGACACGGCCCAGACUCCUACGGGAGGCAGCAGUGGGGAAUAUUGGACAAUGGGCGAAAGCCUGAUCCAGCCAUGCCGCGUGAGUGAUGAAGGCCUUCGGGUUGUAAAGCUCUUUCGCACGCGACGAUGAUGACGGUAGCGUGAGAAGAAGCCCCGACUAACUUCGUGCCAGCCGCCGCCGUAA